ACGUAACCAUGAAACGACGUACAUCGAGUCCUACAUAACCCGAGGACUGUCUGUAUGUUAUUUAGUUGCAAAUGAAAGAUGCCCAAUUUAAAUUCUCUUAAACUCAUGGGAGAUUAUUGUAAGGAUCCUAAAGUUUGAAACCAAGACAAGAAUGUUGUUGGGCUUUAGAAAUGAUUAAAUGCAGUGUCAACUCUCAUGUGUGCUUUCUGUCUCAGCUUUAUUGUUCCUCACUGUCUUAGUCUGUUCUGGCUGCCAUAACAAUACCACAGACUGGGCAGCUUAAACAGCAGGCAUUUCUCACAGAUUUGGAAGCAGGAAGCUCGAGAUCAAGGUGCCAGCAUUAUCAGUUUCUGGUGAAGCCUUGGCCUGCGAUUGGCUGCUUUCUCAACUGUGUCCUCAUAUGGCCUUUUCUCUCUGCAAAGGACACCAGUCCCAUCGGGUCAGGGACCCACCCUUAUGACUUCAUUUAAUCUUGGUUACUUCCUCAAAGGCCCCAUCUCCAAAUAUAGCCACAUUGAGGGAGGAGC